CGAUGGCAAAGGCCUCCCCCCAGGUCCUCCUACUGUCUCUUCACGCGCCAUGUCUACUCUGAAUUACUGGCAGUCACGCGUCACGCAAGUCGAUUUGUAAGGCGAAAUGAGACACACCCCUCAUUCAUCCUGGGUCCUCAUUUGAUGCGACAAACUAGAGGAUGUAGAAGGAAGUAUUAUUUCUGGUGCAGGAGAGAAAUUAGUUAAGAUGAGAAAGAAUUACAGGUGGCGAAGACGUCCUCCCUCUACAAAAACCUGCGCUCAUGUACGAAGAGGUGGGGAACAAUCAGGUCUUGAUACCGUGGUACUCCACGCCGUAAAGGACUUCUAAAUAGGAAGUGGGUGUCUCGAACACUGCGUUCUCGAGCUCAAGCAUUCAGUAGCCCGCCAAGGAGCGGGCAGCAGGGUAAAAACUCAAAGGAAUUGAAGGGGCCCCGCACAAGCGGGGAACAUGGGUUUAUUCUAUAAACCCGGUGAAGCCCUCCGUGGUGUUCUAUUACCGGGGAAUUAUGUAAAACAUUUGAAAAACCCUCGGCAUUUUAAAAACAGCGGGCGAGGGGCUCGUCGCCCUCCCACCCCCGUCAUACAUAUUUAAUUGUGGAAACAAUGGUUGUCUUUUUUCGUGGUUUCUGGCCGCGCCAUACAUUGCACUCGAGUUUGUCUUCCGGCGUUAUACCGGGGGAAGGUGGGCACCACGUUCAUUUGUCACGCACAUUUGCCGUGAUGUUAACCUGUCUUACUAUCCGUAAUCAACCCAACCGAUCCUGCGUUUUGUUCAUCCUUAAUUACCGGCAUCGUCCGAGGGUGAGUCACGGCCCUCUUCUAUCGUAAACAUGAUUCGUUGGCGGGAUUUUAAUUUCCCCGUGAUAAUUUACCGGCCUUGGGCCCACCUCCAAACGCGCCACGGGAGAGUUCCGGGGCCCCCGUAGAGUACGGCUACCUGAGCGA
rnacentral:rRNA from 1 species